rnacentral:tRNA from 1 species
GGUGGUAGAGCUCAGUGGUAGAGUGUGUGCUUAGCAUGCACAAGGUCCUGGGUUCAAUCCCCCGUGCCUCCA